rnacentral:rRNA from 1 species
UACAGGGGGGGCAAGCGUUGUUCGGAAUUACUGGGCGUAAAGGGUCUGUAGGUGGCCAACUAAGUCAGACGUGAAAUCCCUCAGCUUAACUGGGGAACUGCGUCUGAUACUGGAUGGCUUGAGUGUGGGAGAGGAAUGCGGAAUUCCAGGUGUAGCGGUGAAAUUCGUAGAUAUCGGGAGGAACACCGGUGGCGAAGGCGGCGAUCUGGGUUGAUACUGACGCUGAGGUGCGAAAGCGUGGGGAGCAAACAGG